CUGGAAGCGCUCACGCGCACCCAGAAACCCUUUGUGAACAAUACCUAUCGUCGUUGCCUCGGCGAGGCCGGGGGAGGUCAUACUCCCUCCCGUCAGCCGCAGCCUCCACCCCUUGCGGGCGGCGGUGCGGCGCGGAGCAGGCCCGCCGGCGGCCCACCAAACUCUUGUUUUUAAGCGUAUCUCUUCUGAGUAAAAGCUUCUAAAAAUGAAUCA
rnacentral:misc_RNA from 1 species